CAGAGAUUCAAGCAAUCCAGAAAGCUCUUACCAAAUAUCUGAAAUGGAAUAAGUCUGUUUGUAAUUCACCUAAACCCUACAUUGGCAAUGAGCAGUUUGGAGCCGGCUGAAAUGUAUGGUUCACACUUCCAUGAAUAUUUCUACACUAGCUAUUCUAAAUAAAACACAGAUCUAACACUAUUAUUAAAGUGACAAUACACUGUAAAAUGA